UACGUAGGGGGCAAGCGUUGUCCGGAUUUAUUGGGCGUAAAGAGCGUGUAGGCGGCCAGGUAGGUCUGGUGUGAAAACUCGAGGCUUAACCUCGAGAUGUCAUCGGAAACCAUCUGGCUAGAGUCCGGAAGAGGAGAGUGGAAUUCCUGGUGUAGCGGUGAAAUGUGCAGAUAUCAGGAAGAACACCAAUGGCGAAAGCAGCUCUCUGGGACGGUACUGACGCUGAGACGCGAAAGCGUGGGGAGCGAACAGG
rnacentral:rRNA from 1 species